UACGGGGGGGGCAAGCGUUGUUCGGAAUUACUGGGCGUAAAGGGCGCGUAGGCGGCCUGUGCAAGUCAGUUGUGAAAUCUCCGAGCUUAACUCGGAACGGUCAACUGAUACUGCUCGGCUAGAGUGCGGAAGGGGCAACUGGAAUUCUUGGUGUAGCGGUGAAAUGCGUAGAUAUCAAGAGGAACACCUGCGGCGAAGGCGGGUUGCUGGGCCGACACUGACGCUGAGGCGCGAAAGCUAGGGGAGCGAACGGG
rnacentral:rRNA from 1 species